CACUACCCCCUGGGCAGGGGCAGGGGCACAAAAAAAGGAAGGGCAGCCCCUCCUUGAGGUCUGGGACUCCCUCUGGAGGUCCUGUGAUAUAAUAUGGUCAUGCAUUCCACUGGGGAAAGAGAGUUAUUUACAUGGGGUCCCCCCCCACAUCAGACUGUGAGCUCCUUGAAGGCAGGGACCUUGUUUUGGACCUUCUUUGAAACCCCAGUGCUUCCUGCAGUGCCUGACACGGUUGGAAGCAUCCCGGAAGGCCCCUCCCCUCUCGAGGCUGCGCAGAAGAGGCCCCGCGCGUUGGACAGGAACGUUGCUGCAGCGGAACCUUGGGCGCGGGGGCGGA